AAUGCUAGCAGCUACAGCUAUUUUCCCCUGGCCUAUUUUAAUAUUAUUUAUUUGGGCAAUAGAAACAUCUGAAGUAUGAGAAGGAGGCUUAUGGUCCCACAGUCAGCGGACAGAAGAUUUGCAGGAAUUAAUAUAUUGGUUUCUGAUAACAGAAGCAUGACCGCAACCAAUGUGCCUUCACAUUACCAUCACAAAAUCAUUGUUAGUGGAAUGGCACAAGUGAAACCCAAGACUUACACACCUUAAAUGCA